CUAGAUCUUAGGCAACAAUUCUCUUAGCACAUCAGCUCCUGGAAACAAAUGCACUUAACCAGAAAAACAGGGACAUCAACCAGCAAAGAUGCAUCCUCAUUUAAUAGAGCUUGAAAUUACUAUAAUCUGUAAAGUACAGCGAGAAGAAGAAGUUUCACCUGCCUGCACAUCUGUCGUUGACUCUCCAUCUGACUUGGAGGGACUCUGAGGGACCAACCUGAGCCUGAGAAGAGGCAAGAUUCCCCUUCAAGGACACACUGGGAACUUACGGACCUCUUUCUCCAUGGUGCAGAGCGCAGAGGUGAACAAACAGACGCAUAAUAGCUCUUGAGCUUGCCAUUGGGAAGUGAAAAUCAACUGCUUGAAUAAAUGUAAGGACUCAGACCUCUGCAUUCUGGCAAUCAACUGACCUCACCUGGAAUCACGAGUCAUGACUGAACCGGUCCUGUGGCCCCACCUGGGGAUAAACUCAGCACACAAGGAUCAUUUUCCACACCUCUAUGAUUUCAUAGGCAACCAAUCAACGGCACCCAUUUUUUAGCCUCCUGCUCGCCAAAGCAUCUUUGAAAAAUCCUAACCUCCAAGCCUUCGGGGAGACUGAUUUGAGUAAUAACUCUGUUCCCUGCAUGGCUGGUCUAGUGUCAAUUAAACUCUUUCUUUACUGCCAUACCAUAGUCUCAGCGAAUUGGUUUUGUCUGUGCAAUGGGCAGGAAGAACGUGUCUGGUGAGCAUCUCCACACAUUCAGAAAUUGUCCAUCUAAGACAAUGGAGUUAUUUUCACCCUCAACAAAUGCCUCAACUCUGUGACAUUUUAAGCAAAUCUUAACUUUGACUUAUGAAUUCAAGAAGGAAAAAAAAAAAAACACCAGACAUGGGUGCUCCAAUCCACGUAGUGUUGAGGCAGUGAAGUUUGUGUUCCAGGAACUUCAGAACUCCUGAAUGUAUUGGUGUUGAUAAAAGGUGAUGAGAUGAAGUAGAAUGACCAUAAACUUAGAGGUAGACAUCACCUUGUGACUCAACAGCAGCCAAUAAGAUGGAAAUAAAGGCCAUGAAGUUAUCGGAUGGCAUCUACAAGGAAUACUUAGAUGAGGAGGUGACUCUGGUAGCAAUUGUUCUUUUGUCUUUCUCACCUUCCUUCUUGUCCUGUCUGGGAUGCUGAAGUGAUGGCUGGUAUACAGAUGCCCUGUUGUGAUGUUGAGAUAAACAUGAGAAUAAAAGUCGGCGAUUACAGAUGGCAGAGAAGAGAGAGAAAGAUAGGAUGUAGGUGGAUAUUGACGGAACUAAGUUUCUAUUGCACAAGUUCUACCACCAACCUCUGGACUUCAUGAUAUGUGAGGGAGAAAUAAACUCCUAUUUUAGAAGAGAUCUAUGUUACCUGCAACUGAACGGAAUG
ensembl:lncRNA LINC00507 long intergenic non-protein coding RNA 507